UACGGAGGGUGCAAGCGUUAUCCGGAUUUACUGGGCGUAAAGCGCACGUAGGCGGAUCUUUAAGUCAGAGGUGAAAGCCCGGGGCUCAACUCCGGAACUGCCUUUAAGACUGCAUCGCUAGAAUUGUGGAGAGGUAAGUGGAAUUCCGAGUGUAGAGGUGAAAUUCGUAGAUAUUCGCAAGAACACCAGUGGCGAAGGCGGCUCACUGGUCCGGUACUGACGCUGAGGUGCGAAAGCGUGGGGAGCAAACAGG
rnacentral:rRNA from 1 species